AACGAACGCUGGCGGCAGGCCUAACACAUGCAAGUCGAGCGAGGACUUCGGUUCUAGCGGCGGACGGGUGAGUAACGCGUGGGAAUGUGCCCUUCUCUACGGAAUAGCCCUGGGAAACUGGGAGUAAUACCGUAUACGCCCUUUUGGGGAAAGAUUUAUCGGAGAAGGAUCAGCCCGCGUUGGAUUAGGUAGUUGGUGGGGUAAUGGCCUACCAAGCCGACGAUCCAUAGCUGGUUUGAGAGGAUGAUCAGCCACACUGGGACUGAGACACGGCCCAGACCCCUACGGAAGGAAGCAGGGGGGAACCUAGAACAUGGGGGGAAACCCGAAUCUACCCAGGCCGGGUAAGUAUGGAAGGCCUUAGGGUUGUAAGGCUCUUUAACCGGGAAAGUUAAGACCGGAACCAGAAAAAGAACCCCGGCUAACUCCGUG
rnacentral:rRNA from 1 species